rnacentral:rRNA from 1 species
UACGUAGGGUGCAAGCGUUGUCCGGAAUUAUUGGGCGUAAAGAGCUCGUAGGCGGUUUGUCGCGUCGAAUGUGAAAACCCGGGGCUCAAUUCCGGGCCUGCAUUCGAUACGGGCAGACUAGAGUUCGGUAGGGGAGACUGGAAUUCCUGGUGUAGCGGUGAAAUGCGCAGAUAUCAGGAGGAACACCGGUGGCGAAGGCGGGUCUCUGGGCCGAUACUGACGCUGAGGAGCGAAAGCGUGGGGAGCGAACAGG